GACAUUUUCUGAUUUUAAAAUUGGUGAUAUAGGCAUUGAUGUUUGCUACUUUUCCUAUAAGGUGAAUAUUGUGGCAGUAAUAGCCAUGACCCGUUCAAAGCAUCUUUUAGAUGAUAUAACUCACUUGUCCUAAGCCAAUAGUGGCUUCUCUGUCACUCUUCAAAUAGAAUCCAAAGUCCUAGCCAUAGACCAAAAGGCCCUGACUUCUGACUACUUCUCCAUACUUAUUUUCCAGUCUUCUCUUUCACCCUACUCUUGUCAUACCUUUUCUUUUUUUAACGUUUCUUUGAAUAUCCCAAGCAUAUUUCCAUAUGUGAUGGUAGGAAUGUUCUUUUCUUAGUCAUGCCCUUGGUUUUGCUUCUUCACUUCCUCUAGCCUUUGUACAAAUAUUAUUUUAACAGGCAGGUUUUACUCUGACUAAAGUAGCAUGUUUCUCCAACCUUUUCACUCUUUACCCAACAUGAUUUAUUUUUAUUCAUUGCAGUUUCAACACCUGGAUAUAUUCUGUGUUUAUUUGUAUAUUCUUUGUCUUUCCUUUCUCUUGAAUGUCAAGUCCCAUGCAAAAGUGACUAGUAUACUGUCUGGCAUAUGGAAAGCACUUAGUAAAUAAUAAUUCAGUGAGUAAAUCACAUUCAACUCAACUGAACACAACAUACACUUAAGUAAUCACACCCUAUAUUGCCUGACUAUUCCCAAACAACCACUAAUAUAAUUUCUGUCUCAGGCUGGAGUUGUGGCUCAGAGAUAGAACGUUCGCCUAGCGUGUGUGAGGCACUGGGUUCAAUCCUCAGCACCACAGUAAAAAAUAAAGCUAUU
rnacentral:lncRNA from 1 species